rnacentral:rRNA from 1 species
GAUGAACGCUGGCGGCGUGCCUAAUACAUGCAAGUCGAGCGAACAGAUGAGGAGCUUGCUCCUCUGACGUUAGCGGCGGACGGGUGAGUAACACGUGGAUAACCUACCUAUAAGACUGGGAUAACUUCGGGAAACCGGAGCUAAUACCGGAUAAUAUAUUGAACCGCAUGGUUCAAUAGUGAAAUACGGUUUUGCUGUCACUUAUAGAUGGAUCCGCGCCGCAUUAGCUAGUUGGUAAGUUAACGGCUUACCAAGGCAACGAUGCGUAGCCGACCUGAGAGGGUGAUCGGCCACACUGGAACUGAGACACGGUCCAGACUCCUACGGGAGGCAGCAGUAGGGAAUAUUCCGCAAUGGGCGAAAGCAUGACGGAGCAACGCCGCGUGAGUGAUGAAGGUCUUCGGAUCGUAAAACUCUGUUAUUAGGGAAGAACAAAUGUGUAAGUAACUAUGAACGUAUUGACGGUAACUAAUAAGAAAGCCACGGCUAACUACGUG